rnacentral:rRNA from 1 species
AUUGAACGCUGGCGGCAGGCCUAACACAUGCAAGUCGAACGAGUGGCGGACGGGUGAGUAAUGUCUGGGAAACUGCCUGAUGGAGGGGGAUAACUACUGGACACGGUAGCUAAUACCGCAUACCAUCGGAUGUGCCCAGAUGGGUUUAGCUAGUAGGGGGGGUAACGGCUCACCUAGGCGACGAUCCCUAGAUGGUCUGAGAGGAUGACCAGACACACGGGAACUGAGACACGGUCCAGACGCCUACGGGAGGCAGCAGUGGGGAAGAUUGCACAAUGGGCUCAAGCCUGAUGCAGCCAUGCCGCGUGUAUGAAGAAGGCCUGAGGGUUGUAAAGUACUUGCAGCGGGGAGGCGUUACCCGCAGAAGAAGCACCGGCUAACUCCGUGCCAGCGGCCGCGGUAAUUC